GACGAACCGUGCAAACGUUGUUCGGAAUCACUGGGCUUAAAGGGCGCGUAGGCGGGCCACCCAGUCCGGGGUGAAAUCUUUCGGCUCAACCGGAAAAGGGCCUUGGAUACUGGUGGUCUGGAGGAAGGUAGGGGCAUGCGGAACUUCCGGUGGAGCGGUGAAAUGCGUUGAUAUCGGAAGGAACGCCGGUGGCGAAAGCGGCGUGCUGGACCUUUGCUGACGCUGAUGCGCGAAAGCCAGGGGAGCGAACGGG
rnacentral:rRNA from 1 species